CCAUAACUGACGCUCAUGGACGAAAGCCAGGGGAGCGAAAGGGAUUAGAUACCCCUGUAGUCCUGGCCGUAAACGAUGAACACUAGGUGUCGGGGGAAUCGACCCCUCCGGUGUCGUAGCCAACGCGUUAAGUGUUCCGCCUGGGGAGUACGCACGCAAGUGUGAAACUCAAAGGAAUUGACGGGGGCCCGCACAAGCGGUGGAGUAUGUGGUUUAAUUCGAUGCAACGCGAAGAACCUUACCAGGGUUUGACAUCCUGCGAAUUUCUGGGAAACCGGAAAGUGCCUUCGGGAGCGCAGUGACAGGUGGUGCAUGGCUGUCGUCAGCUCGUGUCGUGAGAUGUUGGGUUAAGUCCCGCAACGAGCGCAACCCACGUCUUUAGUUGCCAGCAUUUAGUUGGGCACUCUAGAGAGACCGCCGGUGAUAAACCGGAGGAAGGUGUGGAUGACGUCAAGUCAUCAUGCCCCUUACAUCCUGGGCUACACACGUACUACAAUGCUACGGACAAAGGGCAGCAAACUCGCGAGAGCUAGCAAAUCCCAUAAACCGUGGCUCAGUUCAGAUCGUAGGCUGCAACUCGCCUACGUGAAGGAGGAAUCGCUAGUAAUCGCAGGUCAGCAUACUGCGGUGAAUACGUUCCCGGGCCUUGUACACACCGCCCGUCACACCAUGGAAGUUGGCCACGCCCGAAGCCGUUACUCCAACCCUUGUGGAGGAGGACGUCGAAGGUGGGGCUGAUGACUGGGGUGAAGUCGUAAC
rnacentral:rRNA from 1 species